GGCGGGUAUUGCCUGUGGGUACAGGACCGGGCCUCAGAAACUCGGAGCCGGGAGGCGAAAUCUCCUCGGUUGCGGUUCGACUCCGCUGCCCGCCG
rnacentral:tRNA from 1 species